rnacentral:rRNA from 1 species
UACGUAGGGGGCAAGCGUUGUCCGGAAUUAUUGGGCGUAAAGCGCGUGUAGGCGGCCAGAUAAGUCCGCUGUGAAAUCUCGAGGCUCAACUUCGAGCUGUCGGUGGAAACUGUCUGGCUAGAGUCCGGAAGAGGAGAAUGGAAUUCCUGGUGUAGCGGUGAAAUGCGCAGAUAUCAGGAAGAACACCCGUGGCGAAGGCGGUUCUCUGGGACGGUACUGACGCUGAGAAGCGAAAGCGUGGGGAGCGAACAGG